rnacentral:rRNA from 1 species
CAGUCGCCGCGGUAAUACGAAGGGGGCUAGCGUUGCUCGGAAUGACUGGGCGUAAAGGGCGCGUAGGCGGCGAUCAAAGUCAGGCGUGAAAUUCCUGGGCUCAACCUGGGAAUGGCAGUGGAUACUGGCAAGCUAGAGUGUGUCAGAGGAUGGUGGAAUUCCCGGUGUAGCGGUGAAAUGCGUAGAGAUCGGGAGGAACAUCAGUGGCGAAGGCGGCCAUCUGGGACAACACUGACGCUGAGGUACGAAAGCGUGGGGAGCAAACUGGAUUAGAUACCCCGGUAGUCCCUGUCUCUUAUAC